CAGACAUAGUAUUAUAUUCCUCUUUUCCCCAAAUUCUAUUCCUAGCCUAACCUGAAUAUCAUAAACACAAAGUAAUUUUAUACUCUGUGGAUUAGAGGUUGUGGUAAACUGCAGAAAACCCCCCAUGGGGCAAAUGAUCAGAUUUGAGAAUUCAGUUUCUCCUCUAACAGAAGCAGUGAAAGCUGAACCCUAAAUAACUGAAGUGGGGGAUACAAAUGAUGUAAUAUCACAUUAGAAGGGCUAUGAUGUUCUUGUAAAUGGUGCUAUGAAGAGUCCCUUCAAGUGUUCUAUCAAAGGCAGGGUCUGGGGGUCCAAGAUGGGCUGGGUUAAGAGAAAAGGCUCUCAGACAAAGUUAAGUUUGAUAUUUGUCUCUAAAACUGACUAUGUGGCCUGGGACAAGUUUCUUCACCUCUUGAAGCCUUGGUUUCCUCACCUGUAU
rnacentral:lncRNA from 10 species